AACUUGUUUCUUUGUGUACAUAUUGUUGAGUUUUGUGAUAAUUGAUAACCUCAUUACUCUUAUGCUUGAUCUAAUGGGACUUAACUGUUUGCCUAGAAAAUGCAAGAAGACUAUUGUGGGUUUUCUAUGGUUCCGUCUUCUGAUUAACGUUCGUACUGCCCAACGCUUUGCAUGCUAUGCUUUUCCAAAUUCAUGUGGAUCCAAAAAACACUACCAUUUGCUGCCUAAAACACUACCAUUUGUAGCACAAAACACUUUCAUUUGUAGCCUAAAAAGACACUUCAAGCUUCACGAGGGCAGGGCUGGCUGCAUUCCACAAUAAUCUACCCACCUUUUCUUUGAAUGACAUUGUGACUAUCCACAAUCUUGUUUGCUGCCUUUUGUGAUAGGCUUAGCGUUGUAGUUUUGGUAGAUUGAUUGUUUUAGCAAUAGGAGUUUACUUACCAUGUUGUAGGAGUUGAUAUUCCAUUUCGUCCACACAAGUCGUAUAUGGCUUAUUAAACUGAUCAUCACCUUUGAGAAUAUGUGCAAUUAGUGAUAUAGCUCUAUGUGUGAGGGUACAUUAGUGUGAUUUAUGUACGCACCAAGGCGCGAAAAGGCAUUUUAGCUUGUAUACGCGUAACUUGCAUUUGUUGUUCUUGUAGGUUAAAUAGGACUUGUAUUUGCUUACUCCUUUUCCUGCAUAUCAUUUUUAUACCUGAUUAAUCAGGCUAGUUUGUAGCCUGACAGUCAUUAUGACUACUAUGUUCAUUAGUUAAGAUAUGGACUUGCUCAAAGCCAUCUUAAGAUUAAUUUGAAAUAGAAAAGGAAGAAGAUAGGGGACAACCCCUUUAGUAGGUAUAAUCUUUGUCUGUUGAUUCAAGUGGAUCCAAUCAUGUAGUUGAUGCUCGGGUCUAGGCUGUGAUUGGCUAUGUUGGUGAUUUUCAUUGUAUUUUGUUGAAAUCCGGCUAAUGUCUUUUGGCUGUUUGAAUGAAAUUAUCAGCUUUUGGCAGUUGUUGGUGCUCCAUAUGAUACGUUGUAGGAAUUUAUUGGUAUUAGGGACUCUCAUGAAUUGGGUAUGUUGCAAGAUUUUGGAGUGAAGUGCCGAAAAGUGCACAGGAUGGCGGGCUUGAUUGGAAUGUGCUUGAGGGUGCAGUGACAGCUUGCAGAGGAUGGCAGGCUUAACUUGAAUUUUACUCUCCCCUAUAGAGGCACACUUAGUACAACCUUAAUCCAUAAAAUCACUGCAUGAUAGGAAGGAUUUUGGGAUGGAAAAGACAAGUGAAAAAUUCAAGAGCGUUAACAAUAACCCUAAAUGCAACAAGUGGACGUUGGUCUUUUAGUGAUGCACAUACCCGUGGUCAUGUACUUAUCUGUCCUAGUGCAAUGGUAGUUUGGGUAGAUGCUAUAAACAAAGCUGAAGUAUUUUUGUGGAGUAGUGAGUGACAUGGUUUAUGUUGAAGAAUCUGUUGGAGCUACUGCUACUUGGCUGACAAAGUUAUUAUGGACUCUACAUGAGGAUUGACUUUGGGUUGAAAGACAAGAUUGGUGUUUUGUGACUUUCGCUAAAGAUGGAGAUAUGAUCAUGUGCCAGUGUCGGCCGGGCAUUGUUCAAGCCUUUUCCUUGACACAUUUACUGUCUUCUCACCGUCAAGCCUUGUAGUCCACUUUUGGGGUAUAUAUGUUUAAGGGUGGGCCUAAAGUCAAUUAAAUUUCCUUCAUUUUAAAGUUAACAUGUAUAGUACCUGAUGUUGAUGAAGUACAAUUUUCUUUUUGGUUUUGUAUGGAAUGUUGUGACUAUAUUGCUACUGAAUGGAUAUUAAUUAGAUUAUCUAGUUCUUUUUCUA